rnacentral:rRNA from 1 species
ACGGGUGAGUAACGCGUGAGCAAUCUGCCCUUCGGAGGGGGACAACAGCUGGAAACGGCUGCUAAUACCGCAUAACGUAUUCGGGUGGCAUCACUUGGAUACCAAAGAUUUAUCGCCGAAGGAUGAGCUCGCGUCUGAUUAGCUAGUUGGUAGGGUAACGGCCUACCAAGGCUUCGAUCAGUAGCCGGACUGAGAGGUUGAACGGCCACAUUGGGACUGAGAUACGGCCCAGACUCCUACGGGAGGCAGCAGUGGGGAAUAUUGGGCAAUGGGCGAAAGCCUGACCCAGCAACGCCGCGUGAAGGAAGAAGGCCCUCGGGUUGUAAACUUCUUUGACCAGGGACGAAACAAAUGACGGUACCUGGAAAACAAGCCACGGCUAACUACGUGCCAGCAGCCGCGGUAAUACGUAGGUGGCAAGCGUUGUCCGGAUUUACUGGGUGUAAAGGGCGCGUAGGCGGGACUGCAAGUCAGAUGUGAAAUCUGGGGGCUUAACCCUCAAACUGCAUUUGAAACUGUGGUUCUUGAGUAUCGGAGAGGCAGGCGGAAUUCCAAGU